rnacentral:rRNA from 1 species
UACGUAGGGGGCUAGCGUUGUCCGGAAUCAUUGGGCGUAAAGCGCGCGUAGGUGGCUUCGUAAGUCCGUUGUGAAAGUCAAAGGCUCAACCUUUGAAAGCCGAUGGAUACUGUGAAGCUAGAGUACGGAAGAGGCGAGUGGAAUUCCUGGUGUAGCGGUGGAAUGCGCAGAUAUCAGGAGGAACACCAAUAGCGAAGGCAGCUCGCUGGGACGUUACUGACACUGAGGCGCGAAAGCGUGGGGAGCGAACAGG